GAUGAAGAACGUAGCGAAAUGCGAUAAGUAAUGUGAAUUGCAGAAUUCAGUGAAUCAUCGAAUCUUUGAACGCACAUUGCGCCCCCUGGUAUUCCGGGGGGCAUGCCUGUUCGAGCGUCAUUUCACCACUCAAGCCUCGCUUGGUAUUGGGCAACGCGGUCCGCCGCGUGCCUCAAAUCGUCCGGCUGGGUCUUCUGUCCCCUAAGCGUUGUGGAAACUAUUCGCUAAAGGGUGUUCGGGAGGCUACGCCGUAAAACAACCCCAUUUCUAAGGUUGACCUCGGAUCAGGUAGGGAUACCCGCUGAACUUAAGCAUAUCAAUAGCGGAGGA
rnacentral:misc_RNA from 1 species